rnacentral:rRNA from 1 species
GAUGAACGCUGGCGGCGUGCCUAAUACAUGCAAGUCGAGCGAACGGACGAGAAGCUUGCUUCUCUGAUGUUAGCGGCGGACGGGUGAGUAACACGUGGAUAACCUACCUAUAAGACUGGGAUAACUUCGGGAAACCGGAGCUAAUACGGAAAAUAUUUUGAACCGCAAGGGUCAAAAGUGAAAGGAGGUCUUGCUGUCACCUAUAGAAGGAUCCGCGCUGCAUUAGCUAGUUGGUAAGGUAACGGCUUACCAAGGCAACGAUGCAUAGCCGACCUGAGAGGGUGAUCGGCCACACUGGAACUGAGACACGGUCCAGACUCCUACGGGAGGCAGCAGUAGGGAAUCUUCCGCAAUGGGCGAAAGCCUGACGGAGCAACGCCGCGUGAGUGAUGAAGGUCUUCGGAUCGUAAAACUCUGUUAUUAGGGAAGAACAUAUGUGUAAGUAACUGUGCACAUCUUGACGGUACCUAAUCAGAAAGCCACGGCUAACUACGUG